CUUUCGGGCAAAACUCUCUGACUCCAACUGGUCUCGUCUGAUCUCAGAAGCUAAGCAGAGUCAGGGCGGGGUAAUACUUUGAUGGAAGACCGCCUGGGGGGGCGGGGGGGGGGUAAGU
ensembl:rRNA 5S_rRNA 5S ribosomal RNA